rnacentral:rRNA from 1 species
GACGAACGCUGGCGGCGUGCCUAAUACAUGCAAGUAGAACGCUGAAGGAGGAGCUUGCUCUUCUGGAUGAGUUGCGAACGGGUGAGUAACGCGUAGGUAACCUGCCUGGUAGCGGGGGAUAACUAUUGGAAACGAUAGCUAAUACCGCAUAAGAGUAGAUGUUGCAUGACAUUUGCUUAAAAGGUGCAAUUGCAUCACUACCAGAUGGACCUGCGUUGUAUUGGCUAGUUGGUGGGGUAACGGCUCACCAAGGCGACGAUACAUAGCCGACCUGAGAGGGUGAUCGGCCACACUGGGACUGAGACACGGCCCAGACUCCUACGGGAGGCAGCAGUAGGGAAUCUUCGGCAAUGGACGGAAGUCUGACCGAGCAACGCCGCGUGAGUGAAGAAGGUUUUCGGAUCGUAAAGCUCUGUUGUAAGAGAAGAACGAGUGUGAGAGUGGAAAGUUCACACUGUGACGGUAUCUUACCAGAAAGGGACGGCUAACUACGUG